rnacentral:rRNA from 1 species
UACGUAGGUGGCAAGCGUUGUCCGGAUUUAUUGGGUUUAAAGGGUGCGUAGGUGGGUUCGUAAGUCAGUGGUGAAAUCUCCGAGCUUAACUUGGAAACUGCCAUUGAUACUAUGAGUCUUGAAUAUUGUGGAGGUCAGCGGAAUAUGUCAUGUAGCGGUGAAAUGCUUAGAUAUGACAUAGAACACCAAUUGCGAAGGCAGCUGGCUACGCAUAUAUUGACACUGAGGCACGAAAGCGUGGGGAUCAAACAGG